rnacentral:lncRNA from 1 species
UCAGGGCAGAAGGCUUUUGUUCCAAAGCCCCUCUGACCUGAACGCACACACUCACAGCGUGCCCUGUAUCUGGCUCAGAAGCCGUCGCUCCGAAGAAGAUGACUGUCCCCUGUGAGGAACUGUCGUGGGAAUGAGGCGAUAGGACUGGUUGAAGGAAAUGCUAAGAAGCUCUCUCCUUUGUGGACUGAGGGACCAGCUUCAACACCAGAGGGGUGCAAUCCCAGCAGAAAAGGAACACUGUCUCUAAUGUUGCAACAAAGUAACCAGCAUGAAGUUAGCAAGAAGAAAUCACGGUUGCAGCUGCUGAACACUGAUCCCUACCUGCUUUAAACUUAGAUCCAGAACGGAGCCGGCACAGUGACUUACGUCACUCCCACUGGCUUAAGAGAACAGAGAAUGACAUAUAGACAAGAUGCUACCUCCCAUGGAAAGGCCCCUAUACAUAAAGUCACUUUAUUUCUCUGUCACUUCCCUGAAAAUAAUUUAUGUAAUUAUGCUGUUAAUGAAGUCUAACAACUCAAGGUUUGUUUAUUGACUAUUACUUAAUGCUACCAAAGCAUGUGUGAAUACCCUCCCACAAGAUGGCACCUGUUGAUUCUCCUUCAUAGUAAAGAUAAGAGAUUCCAACCACUCCCUCUCCUAUGCCCACUCCCAGAUAUGUGUAAUUUCUUCCCACUCCUUCCAGUCUCAGAAGGGGUAAGAUGAACUGAGAAGGGACCCUAUUUGUACAAAUAGGUUUCAGGAUGUUGUCAUAUGUGCUUCCUGGGACUCUGUGGUAAUAAGAGCUGUUUUAAGGUCACUCAUGCAUAAACCCCCAUCCACGAUUUGAUAAAUAAACCCACCGUCCAACCAAUCAAAAAUGCUAAAGUAGGGAGAAAUUGUUCUUCCUUUUUGUUGAUGCCAGUGCCCUAGCCAAGGUGAAUAGACGUUUGUUCAAGCUGUUGCUGUAAAAGAUACUGUGAUGUUCAUUUGUAAAUAUCAUCAGAGUUACUCCUACAGGUCGACUCUCUGUGUAAGACACUAAAAAUGGAUAAUACUCAUCAAGUUUCUCAUGUGUCCAUUAACACAUUGUCUUCUAGAAUCAAUCCUCAUUUCCAUUUGCAGAUGUAUUCUUGUCUGUCAGGGUGUGAUGUCUAGAACAGUGGUUACCUCUUAGUCUAAAAGGCUCAUUCUGGACCAAGAUGACUGCAUUCCAUUAGUUACAGGGA